CAUGAAAAAGGAUCUUCUUUGGUUGAUUCUCUUUUGGUCCCUUCAAAAACUGUCUGCUUGUUGUAACUGAGUACUGACUCCGAUCCGUGUGUGCUCUGUAAACAGCAGAAUGGUUGGUCAGUGUGGGAGAACAAGCCACUGUGGGAGGACAUUGGUGUGUGAUGCUGGAAAGCACAGAAGAGCCAUGUAGGUGUGUAUUUUCAUCUUUGAUCAUGGCAGUGCAACAAUGAGCUCCAGGCUGAAGAGACGGGAAAACAGAAGCAGCAUAGUAAAUUGAACAAGUACAUUUUAUUUGAUUGGCAAGAACAGAAAAUCCCUUAACCAGCUCAAGCUUUUGGUGGAGUUUUCCUGAAAAUGUUUUUUGAUGGACUAUUCUUCUUCAUAAACUUAGUUUCCGGGAGAGUGGAAAAAAAUAAUUCAGAAGUGUUGUAAAUGCUCUGGGAGACGUUUUAAUGUUCUUCCUUCCUCACAUACAAAAAACUAUAUCACAUUUGUGUUUAUGUACUGCAUGCAGUGUUGACAGUUACAAAGAAUCAAUAAUUGCAACCCUGGUAUGCAAAAUCAUAAGAUUUAUUCAAAAAAUAAGAGUAUAUUUCAGCUCGCUACUUUAAAAAUAACUAUAUGAAGUUGAUCUAUCUUCAAGCUUCCCAUCAAUUUUCAGCCCCAGAGCACCUGGUCCCCUAGAGGGUCACCCUGGUCCCAGGUCCCCCAGAUGGUUCAGUAUCCCAUUCCCAGAACUCUACUACCAUUUCUAGCAUCAUCAGUUCUUCCAACAUUCAUUUAUCUCUUAAUUACAAACAUAUUUUUCAUCUCCAAAUAUAUAUAGCUUUAGUUCUCCAACUUUCCUAAUAGCAUUUUUCUCCAUCCUAGAGAUUCUAAGGUGAUAAGAAUCUAAAUCUCCGUCAGCUGUCAAUUCAAAAGAAGGAUGCCCAUCUUAGCAUUCUUCCAUUAGUUUUCAUUUAACAGGAGGAGGCCUGGUGAAGGAACACCCAGGACCAAUUUUAGAUAUGAUGAAUUUGCUCUAUGAGAACCCAGGGUUUUCCUGUCAUAUCCUUCCUCCAGUAAUAAUCCUUAGAGGAAUAAGGGAGACGUUGACUUUUCCCAACCAGGUCCCCUUUCAUGGGGCAGGAAGACUGGCCAACAAUAUAAGAUAUUUUUCCAGGAAAAGUAAAAUUCAAGAGGAAGCUGGAGCUGCUUUUGCCAUCCUGGUGAAGUCUAUCUGAAAGUGAAGGCUAUCAGCUGUAUCUGAAAGUGUCCUCCUUAUUUCUCCUAAAAUUAUCAUAGAAUCAUAGAAUGGUUUGAGUUGGAAGGGACCUUUAAGAUGAUCUGGUUCCAAUCCCCUGCUAUAGGCAGGGACACCUCCCACUAGGCCAGGAUGCUCAAAGUCCCAUCCAGUCUGGCCUUGAAUGCUUCCAGGGAGGGGACAUUCACACCCUUCCCAGGAAACCUGUUCCAGUGUCUCACCACCUUCAUAGUAAAGAAUUUCUUUCCAGUAGCUAGUCUAAACUUACCCUCUUCCAGUUUAAAACCAUUUUCCCUCAUCCUGUCACUAUGUGCCCUUCUAAAAAGUCCCUCCCCAGCUUUCCCAUAGGCCUCCUUCAGGUACUGGAAGGUCACUGUAAGGUCCCCUUGAAGCCUUCUCUUCUUCAGGCUGAAGAGCCCCAGCUCUCUCAGCCUGUUUGAAAUGAUUGCUUCCCACUGUAUCACAAAUUAUGAGCUCAUUGUGUGCAGAGCACACUGAUGAAAUGGUUUGCCAACCAUGCACAUUGCCAACCAUCUACAUUUGUGACAGAGUGCUUUGGCUAGAAAAUAGAUCUUUUUUUUCUCUUCUUACCAUACAAUUCAUCCCACUUGCCAGAGGUCAGCAUUGUUUCAUGGCAGGACUCUGCCUCCCCUGAUGGCCAUGCUACUGUUUUUAGGUAGAGUUCACUGUGUAAUAACCUGAUGACACAGAAUGUGCUCAUUCAUAAGAGUUGCAGUGCUGGGAUCAGAGUUCCAUCUUGUGCUCUGUCCUUGCUUGCAGGACACCAAUACCAGCUGUUUCCUGCUGUAGAGCUACAGCACCACUGAAAUUUGCAGAAUGUUUUUAGCAGGGAUGGGAAGUGUCCAGAGGAAGCAGAUGGGAUGAAAGGAAGAGUUCACUCUGGCUGCUGGCAUUGUAAAAAGCACUGGGAGUAAUUUAGAAAAGAAACACAGAAAUGGUUAAAAACUUCAAAUAAGAUGCUGCUGGUGCUUGCUGUGCUCCUGUCACCUCCAUAAACUAUAUUUUUUUUAUUCAGAUACUUGAAACAGUUUCUUUUUAUCUUCCUGGUAAGGUGAACUAAUGGUAAUGAUUUCUAGAACUUUAAGACACUCUUGAGACAUUUCCAAGAGACAGCAGGAUUUUCAAUACGUGCACGUGCAUAUAUGUAUGCAUUCUGAUACAGUUACUAAUUCUCUUUCUGACUUUUUAUCUGAAUAUUUAUACAUGUAUAAAUUGAAGUCAUGCAAAUAUAUUUACAUUUCAGAGCUGGUUAAAUUUUUCUGAAAGAUGGUAUUUAUUUACAGAUUUAGCUCUGAUGUUGGAGUACAAUCCUGUGGUCUUUUGUCUUAUAAAUGACCCUAGUAACUCUGCCAUGAGUUAUAAAGACAAGGUAGCAUCCCUAUCCUUGUACUUAGGCAUUUCACCUGAGCUGCUAGAGAAGUAGCAGCUAUCAUCAUCCAUUUAUAUUAAAGAAAUAUAAGUUAUAAAAUAGAUGUGAUUUACCAAAGAUACUCACUAUCUCAGUGGCAGAUUACAAUCUUAUAUUUUCAAAUAUACGCUCUGUAUUUUUUUUAGAUUGCUUGGAAAACCAAUGCCAUGCGAUUCUGAGCUAAAAUGUUAAUGCUAUUCUAUAAUAAUAAUAAUAAUCAGA
ensembl:lncRNA